ensembl:lncRNA
CUUUCCACUACCUUCGGUGGGUGGUAGGCUAAAAGGGACGUUAAAGCAUUUAAGAAUCAUCAUUAAAAAUAAGCAUUGAAAAAAUUUAACUUAUACUCACCGUGAUAUAGAAGGGCUGGGAAGGCACAGGUAAAGAUUAAAAAUGUAUUUAUCAUCAUCCACUGCACUAAAAAACUUCUCUGGUGAAGUUUGACAGCUUACAAUUGUCAAAGUACGGAAUAUGUCAAAGUCAGUGGAGUGCUCCGCAACAAACAGAACAUCUUUAUUUCCUCCACCCCAAGGCUCAGGGACCAUUUCAGAAGAGAGGUGGAAAAGGAGUAAAUAACCAGAGGUCAUGAAGGAGUGGAGCACAGCCGUGUCUUCUAGACAUCACAAGAUCUCUUUCAUCAUGGAUUGGCAGCAGCCUGAACAUGACCCAUACAAGAUUAAGUCAGUCAACAUUCUAUCCUGGAGAAGAAAAAUCUUCAUGUGAUCCAACCCUAGCUGAGGAACUCUGGGCUCUUUCUGUCUGGAGGGAGAGAAAGUUAAUUUUCUUCAAGAGUGUGUCUUCUUUUGGUUUGACUACUCUUCAGUGCAUGGCCACAUACACAGUAGUACAUGAAUGGCACAAAGUGGACUCAUUGGUUUACUUAAAAAAAUGACAACAAUUUUCCUAGUGGAUCUGGGAGUAGUUGGGAGAGAACUGAGGAUGGAUAUGAUCAAAAUGCAAUGCUGUAAAGUUCUCAAAGAAGUAUAACAUUAUCAUAUUAACCUAUAAAUUAUAUGUAAAUUUCAAUUAUAAAUAUAAAUAAAAUUGUAUUAUGAGUCAUAAAAUUAUUCUAUUAAAGAAAAAUAAAAUAUAAAGGUAUACAUGGCAUGCCUCCGAGGGGAGAAUCAAUGACUUCUGAUCGUAUUUUUUUAAUGAGUUAGGAAACAAGGCCAAGCCUAAGAGACAUAGGAUGAAGAAGGUUGGAAUAUUUUGUAAGAUGGAAAGGUAUUUAGAAGACCAUGGAAGAAUGAACAGGGCAGGAAUGAGCCAUACAAUGGUCAUGCUUAAACCUACAUUGAUGAUCAAUGUAGGUGAUGAAGCUACACUGGGACAGUGAUGAAGCUACACUGGGACAGUUGAAGCUAUACUGGGACAGUGGUUGAAGCUAUACUGGGACAGUGAUGAAGCUACACUGGGACAGUGAUGAAGCUACACUGGGACAGUGAUGAAGCUACACUGGGACAGUGAUGAAGCUACACUGGGACAGUGAUGAAGCUACACUGGGACAGUGAUGAAGCUACACUGGGACAGUGAUGAAGCUACACUGGGACAGUGAUGAAGCUACACUGGGAC